rnacentral:rRNA from 1 species
GACGAACGCUGGCGGCGUGCUUAACACAUGCAAGUCGAACGGAAAGGCCCUGCUUUUGUGGGGUGCUCGAGUGGCGAACGGGUGAGUAACACGUGAGUAACCUGCCCUUGACUUUGGGAUAACUUCAGGAAACUGGGGCUAAUACCGGAUAGGAGCUCCUGCUGCAUGGUGGGGGUUGGAAAGUUUCGGCGGUUGGGGAUGGACUCGCGGCUUAUCAGCUUGUUGGUGGGGUAGUGGCUUACCAAGGCUUUGACGGGUAGCCGGCCUGAGAGGGUGACCGGGCGCCAGGGGGCUAAGGGAGGGACCAGAGCACAACGGGAGGCAAGAGGUGGGAAUAUGACACAAUAAGGCGAAGGCAGGGGACAGAACGGCGGGGGGGGGAAGGACGGCUUUGGGGUGGAAACCGGUUUCGGCUUGGACGAAGAGGUGGGGACGGUAAUGGGUGAAGAAGCACCGGCUAACCACGUG